GCAAGUCGAGCGAACUGAUUAGAAGCUUGCUUCUAUGACGUUAGCGGCGGACGGGUGAGUAACACGUGGGCAACCUGCCUGUAAGACUGGGAUAACUUCGGGAAACCGAAGCUAAUACCGGAUAGGAUCUUCUCCUUCAUGGGAGAUGAUUGAAAGAUGGUUUCGGCUAUCACUUACAGAUGGGCCCGCGGUGCAUUAGCUAGUUGGUGAGGUAACGGCUCACCAAGGCAACGAUGCAUAGCCGACCUGAGAGGGUGAUCGGCCACACUGGGACUGAGACACGGCCCAGACUCCUACGGGAGGCAGCAGUAGGGAAUCUUCCGCAAUGGACGAAAGUCUGACGGAGCAACGCCGCGUGAGUGAUGAAGGCUUUCGGGUCGUAAAACUCUGUUGUUAGGGAAGAACAAGUAUGAGAGUAUUUUUUCGUACCUUGACGGUACCUAACCAGAAAGCCACGGCUAACUACGUGCCAGCAGCCNCGGUAAUACUUAUGUGGCAAGCGUUAUCCGGAAUUAUUGGGCGUAAAGCGCGCGCAGGCGGUUUCUU
rnacentral:rRNA from 1 species